AGAAUUUUGACCAAGUAGUAGAAAUGUUUCCCGAAAAUGUUGUCGACGGGGGGGGGUUCAAAAAAUUUUCCGCACUAACAUAAGCAAAGCUUCAAAUAUUUUCGACCAAAAUAAGCAAGGCUUGCAAUUGUUUCAGCGCAAACAUGACCAAGCUUAGAAAUUGUUAAAAUUGCGAACGAUUUCAUAACUUCGACCAUUUUUAUCUCAAACUUUGACCAAAUUUUACCAACUUUGACUUUCAAUUUUAAGCGAAUAUUAGUUCCAUUUUGACCAACUUUGACCAACGUUUUGAAUUAUUGGGGGGUGUUACACCCUAACACCCCCCCCCCCCCCCCCCCCCCCCCCC
rnacentral:lncRNA from 1 species